rnacentral:lncRNA from 1 species
AGUGGGCGUGCAGGAGAAGCUGUAGGUCAGGAGGUAGAGUUGGCAGUGGGCGUGCAGGAGAAGCUGUAGGUCGGAGAGGUAGAGGUGGCAGUGGGCGUGCAGGAGAAGCUGUAGGUCAGGGGGUAGAGGUGGCAGUGGGCGUGCAGGAGAAGCUGUAGGUCAGAGUGGAUAGGUGGCAGUGGGCGUGCAGGAGAAGCUGUAGGUCAGGAGGUAGAGGUGGCAGUGGGCGUGCAGGAGAAGCUGUAGGUCAGGAGGUAGAGGUGGCAGUGGGCGUGCAGGAGAAGCUGUAGGUCAGGAGGUAGAGUUGGCAGUGGGCGUGCAGGAGAAGCUGUAGGUCGGAGAGGUAGAGGUGGCAGUGGGCGUGCAGGAGAAGCUGUAGGUCAGAGUGGAGAGGUGGCAGUGGGCGUGCAGGAGAAGCUGUAGGUCGG